UACGUAGGGUGCAAGCGUUGUCCGGAAUUAUUGGGCGUAAAGGGCUUGUAGGCGGUCCGUCACGUCGGGUGUGAAAUCUCGGGGCUUAACUCCGAAACUGCAUUCGAUACUGCCGUGCUUGAGGACUGGAGAGGAGACUGGAAUUUACGGUGUAGCGGUGAAAUGCGUAGAUAUCGUAAGGAAGACCAGUGGCGAAGGCGGGUCUCUGGACAGUUCCUGACGCUGAGGCACGAAGGCCAGGGGAGCAAACGGG
rnacentral:rRNA from 1 species